UACGUAGGGUGCAAGCGUUAAUCGGAAUUACUGGGCGUAAAGCGUGCGCAGGCGGUUAUGCAAGACAGAGGUGAAAUCCCCGGGCUCAACCUGGGAACUGCCUUUGUGACUGCAUAGCUAGCGUACGGCAGAGGGGGAUGGAAUUCCGCGUGUAGCAGUGAAAUGCGUAGAUAUGCGGAGGAACACCGAUGGCGAAGGCAAUCCCCUGGGCCUGUACUGACGCUCAUUCACGAAAGCGUGGGGAGCAAACAGG
rnacentral:rRNA from 1 species